AUGUGUGUGUGUAUGUGAGGUGUGUGUGUAUGUGAGUGUGUAUGUGAGGUGUGUGUGUAUGUGAGGUGUGUGUGUAUGUGAGGUGUGUGUGUAUGUGAGUGUGUGUGUGAGGUGUGUGUGUGUGAGGUGUGUGUGUAUGUGAGGUGUGUGUAUGUGAGUGUGUAUGUGAGGUGUGUGUGUAUGUGUAUGUGAGGUGUGUGUGUAUGUGAGGUGUGUGUGUGUGAGAGUGUGUAUGUGAGGUGUGUGUGUAUGUGAGGUGUGUGUGUGUGAGGUGUAUGUGAGGUGUGUGUGAGUGUGUGUGUAUGUGAGGUGUGUGUGAGGUGUGUGUGUAUGUGAGGUGUGUGUGAGAGUGUGUGUGUAUGUGAGGUGUGUGUGAGGUGUGUGUGUAUGUGAGGUGUGUGUGUGAGUGUGUAUGUGAGGUGUAUGUGAGGUGUGUGUGUGUGUAUGUGAGGUGUGUGUGUGUGAGUGUGAGUGUGUAUGUGAGGUGUAUGUGAGGUGUGUGUGUGUGAGUGUGUAUGUGAGGUGUGUGUGUAUGUGAGGUGUGUGUGUGUGAGUGUGUAUGUGAGGUGUAUGUGAGGUGUGUGUGUGUGAGUGUGUAUGUGAGGUGUGUGUGUGAGUGUGUAUGUGAGGUGUGUGUGUGUGAGUGUGUAUGUGAGGUGUGUGUGUAUGUGAGGUGUGUGUGUGUGAGUGUGUAUGUGAGGUGUAUGUGAGGUGUGUGUGUGUGAGUGUGUAUGUGAGGUGUGUGUGUGUGAGUGUGUAUGUGAGGUGUGUGUCAGCAGAAACACUGAAAGGGAAUCAGACAAGCGGCAUCUAAAGCACUUCUGCUGGGUGACUCUGAGCUGUUUUAGUGCAAACACAAUAAAAACACAUUUGCAGUUACAGUGUUGAGUGAGAACAUGAACUUCAUAUCGUCCAAAACUAACAUCAAACACCCGAGACAACAAACUACUAAUGGAUUGCUAAUAUUUUUCAUCAUAAUCAUCUUGAGAUAUAUAUAUAUUCUGUACAGUCUUUUCAUCUGUGACACUGAUUGUUUAAUGGGAAACUUUGCUGAAUAAAGAAGAUUAAAGUGUUGGAGCUCAAAUGAAGACUUUAGAGUUGAUUGUUUUGCUGAUGAACACAAACUAUACAACAAAUGUUCCUAUGAUCUUAAUUUGAGUGUUGUGUGUCGUUGCUACAUUGUUUUUAUUUGUUAGUUAUUUACUUUGAUCGUUCUACAAUCAAGUCUCAAACGGUUGAACCAGCAGCUUACAGCUACAUUUACAUAUGCACAUGAUUGUAAUCACGGUCUAAUAUCUGAACACCGUUAGUCAAAACAAUUACACAAAACUGAACAUUUGUAAGAUCUUGUGAGAUGAUGUUUUUGGCCUAACUCACUAUGUACAAUGCAGCAUUUGUAGUUUAUCGGCAGUGUACACUACAUUAACACAAAUAUACUGUGUCGAAACAUCUUUUCAAACUCAAAAUGCAUUAUUUAAAUAUCAGGGACGCAAGGACAUUUUGUACUCACAAAUAUGUGCAAAUAAGUUAUUUGCUCUCAAGAAAACCAGAAUGUUCCUGUGACAAAAGCUUCUGCUGCUAGUUCAGAAUGACAGGAGAUGUUUGUGUAAAAGCGCUGCUAGUUCGCUAGCUGGUACUGUGCAUAGAGAUGUCUAUAUGACGAGUGAGGGGAUCCGUUUCACACUCGUUAUAAUGUCCAGAUCUCACUAAACAUUCUCCGAUUCAUUUUCUGCGGUUCAGUGCAAAUGAGUGAAUCAACAUUAAACACCUGAUGUCAGGUAAAUGUGUGGCUGUGCUCUAUUAAAGGGUUCGUUCACCCCAAAAUGAACAUUAUCCCAUAAUUGACUUGCCCUCAAGACAU